GAAGCAGGAGUUUGAUUUCUUCUUUUGGGGAGUAAGGCAGGUCUCCUGAGCCCAGUUUUCUAGGUCGCCAAGGCCAGCCUUGAAGCCCUGAUAUCCCUGCCUCUGUGUCUUUGUAGCGCUGGCUUCAAGGAGAGCAUCACCAACCUGGCUCAUUUUCUCUUCAUUUUGCCAAAGCCUUUUAUCUCUAGUGUUGGAGUUCAGAAGAAAAAAAAAAGAGUCUAAAGGAAUAAAAAUGAAUUUCUUUGAUAAUAAAUUCCUCCUGGGAACAGAAGGAAAUGAAAUGAUUUAUGAAAUAGAGAAAAAAGUCAAGAUGGUCUUAGGGAGGAAGCCAACGUGAGGAUGAGUGUGUUGACUUAGCAGUUAGGCAAGGCUGCAAUUACCAUCAUCUCCUCCCUCUUCCUCCCCCUCCUCCCUCUCUCUCCUCGCCCCCUCUCUCUUCUUCCUUCUCCUUUCCCUUUCCUCCCCUUCCCUCUUCUUCCUCCUCCUCCUCCCCCUUCCUCCUUUUCUUCCUUUUCUUCCCCCUCCCUCCCCUCUCCCUCCCCUCCCCCUCCUCUUUUCUUUUCUUUUCUUUUUUUUUUUUUUGAGGCCGAGUGGGUGUCACUAAGUAACUCAGGCUGGCCUGGUUCUCAGUGGUCCUCCUGCCACAGCCUCCUGAGUGCUGUGAUUACAGAUGUGUGCCACCAUGCGUGCACAUUAGAUACGUGCACACCUAGCAAAGAAUUCUUUCAUGUCAUCUACUUUUCAUUAGGGCUGUGAGGUUGACAUCUUAGGACUUCUCAGUUGUCUCCCUUCUCCAUCAUUCUAAUUUUUAUGUCCUGUGAGUGAGCCUCUGCUUUUUUUUUUUAAUGUUGCUAUAAAAUGCUCUUACCAGCCAUUUGCUUCCUCAGGGAACAUUUAGCUUCAUCUUGGUUUCUAUAUAGCUGUCUUGGUGUGUUGAGAGAUCUAGUCAGAAGUCCCUGGGCAGGUUAACAGUGGCCAUGUUCAUGGGCUCCAAUUGAGACUGGAGGAGGGAGGUGGUAAUGGUCUGGUUGUAAAGCUCUCAUUACUGAUCUUCCUCUUUGUCCUGAUGCUACUAGAAGCUUCCAUCUGUCAAGCACUUAUUUGUAUCCCUCUUAAUGUUGUGUUCUUUACUAUAUAUCAUUUAAUCAUUACGGCAGCCUUUCGGAUUGAUACCCCUACAUUCUUUUUAUAGUUUGGAAAAAAAAAAUCUCAGGAUACCUAUCUUUAUCAUUUCUCAAUAUAAAUAUAUUUCUUAAUUUAUUU
rnacentral:lncRNA from 1 species